CUACGGGCGGCAGCAGUGGGGAAUAUUGCACAAUGGAGGAAACUCUGAUGCAGCAACGCCGCGUGGAGGAUGACACUUUUCGGAGCGUAAACUCCUUUUAUAUAGGAAGAAGAUGACGGUACUAUACGAAUAAGCGCCGGCUAACUCCGUGCCAGCAGCCGCGGUAAUACGGAGGGCGCAAGCGUUACUCGGAAUCACUGGGCGUAAAGAGCGUGUAGGCGGAUUAAAAAGUCAGAAGUGAAAUCCUAUAGCUUAACUAUAGAACUGCUUCUGAAACUUUAAUCUAGAAUAUGGGAGAGGUAGAUGGAAUUUCUGGUGUAGGGGUAAAAUCCGUAGAGAUCAGAAGGAAUACCGAUUGCGAAGGCGAUCUACUAGAACAUUAUUGACGCUGAGACGCGAAAGCGUGGGGAGCAAACAGGAUUAGAUACCCUCGUAGUC
rnacentral:rRNA from 1 species